GAGUAACACGUGGGUAACCUGCCCAUAAGACUGGGAUAACUCCGGGAAACCGGGGCUAAUACCGGAUAACAUUUUGAACCGGAUGGUUCCAAAUUGAAAGGCGGCUUCGGCUGUCACUUAUGGAUGGACCCGCGUCGCAUUAACUAGUUGGUGAGGUAACGGCUCACCAAGGCAACGAUGCGUAGACCACCUGAGAGGGUGAUCGGCCACACUGGGACUGAGACACGGCCCAGACUCCUACGAGAGGCAGCAGUAGGGAAUCUUCCUCAAUGGACGAAAGUCUGACGGAGCAACGCCCCGUGAGUGAUGAAGGCUUUCGGGUCGUAAACUCUGUUGUGAGGCAAGAACAAGUGCUAGUUGAAUAAGCUGGCACCUUGACGGUACCUAACAGAAUGCCACGGCCACUACGAUGCAGCAGCCGCAGUAAUACGUAGGAGUCAUGCGUAUCAGCAUUUCGGGCGUAAUCGCGCGCAGGGGUUUACUUCCGUCUGAUGUCAAGGCCACUGCCUUAGCGAUGAGGUCUUGGUACCUGGGAGACUGAGUGAUACAGGUACGGAAUUCCUGUGUAAUCGUGGGAUGCCUAAAUUGGAGGAACCCUGGCAUGCAACUCUCUGUCUGACUGACUGGAGCCAAGCUGGAACA
rnacentral:rRNA from 2 species